UAGGGAAUAUUGCAAAAUGGGCGAAAGCCCGAUGCAGCAACGCCGCGUGGGCGAUGAAGGCCUUCGGGUCGUAAAGCCCUUUUUGAGGGGAUGAGGAAGGACAGUACCCUCAGAAUAAGCCUCGGCUAACUACGUGCCAGCAGCCGCGGUAAAACGUAGGAGGCGAGCGUUAUCCGGAUUUACUGGGCGUAAAGCGCGUGCAGGCGGAUUGGAGAGUUGGAUGUGAAAGCUCCCGGCUUAACUGGGAGAGGUCGUUCAAUACUUCCAGUCUUGAGUGAAGUAGAGGGAAGUGGAAUUCCGGGUGUAGUGGUGAAAUGCGUAGAUAUCCGGAGGAACACCAGUGGCGAAAGCGGCUUCCUGGACUGUAACUGACGCUCAGACGCGAAAGCUAGGGUAGCAAACG
rnacentral:rRNA from 1 species